UAGGGAAUCUUCCACAAUGGGCGCAAGCCUGAUGGAGCAACGCCGCGUGAGUGAAGAAGGUCUUCGGAUCGUAAAACUCUGUUGUAAGAGAAGAACGUGUGUGAGAGUGGAAAGUUCACACAGUGACGGUAACUUACCAGAAAGGGACGGCUAACUACGUACCAG
rnacentral:rRNA from 1 species